UCUUCCCUCUGGCUUUAUGCUUAACACAUGCAAGUCGAACGGACUCUUCGGAGUUAGUGGCGGACGGGUGAGUAACGCGUGAGAAUCUGGCUUUGGGUUCGGGACAACCACUGGAAACGGUGGCUAAUACCGGAUGUGCCGAGAGGUAAAAGAGAAAUUGCCUGAAGAUGAGCUCGCGUCUGAUUAGCUAGUUGGUGAGGUAAAGGCUCACCAAGGCAGCGAUCAGUAGCUGGUCUGAGAGGAUGACCAGCCACACUGGGACUGAGACACGGCCCAGACUCCUACGGGAGGCAGCAGUGGGGAAUUUUCCGCAAUGGGCGAAAGCCUGACGGAGCAAUACCGCGUGAGGGAAGAAGGCUCUUGGGUUGUAAACCUCUUUUCUUAGGGAAGAACAAAAUGACGGUACCUAAGGAAUCAGCAUCGGCUAACUCCGUG
rnacentral:rRNA from 1 species